rnacentral:rRNA from 1 species
UUAGAGGAAGUAAAAGUCGUAACAAGGUUUCCGUAGGUGAACCUGCGGAAGGAUCAUUAAUGAAUUGUAAUGGGGGUUGAUGCUGGCAGUUGUCUGUUUGACUGCAUGUGCUCAUCCUUAACAAUCUGUUAUCCAAACACACCUGUGCACCUUAUGUGAAGGGGGGGCCUCCAAGCCGAUUGCUGUCUUUUUGAUAGUUCUCUUGGGUUCCUCCUUUGCCCCUUUUAUCAUACACUUGUUGCAAUAUUUGAAUGUGCUCAUGCCGGCAAGGCAAUUUAUAAGAAUAUACAACUUUUAACAACGGAUCUCUUGGCUCUCGCAUCGAUGAAGAACGCAGCGAAAUGCGAUAAGUAAUGUGAAUUGCAGAAUUCAGUGAAUCAUCGAAUCUUUGAACGCACCUUGCGCUUCCUGGUAUUCCGGGGAGCAUGCCUGUUCGAGUGUCGUAAAAUUCUCAAGCUGGAUGGUUUUUCCGUCCUAGCAUUGGUUUAUUGGGCUCUGCCGGUGUCCCUCCAUUAGGAGGGACCGGCUGGCCUUAAAGGCAUUAGCUUUGACCCUCUGAUGUGGGAUUGGUUCCUACUCGGCGUGAUAAUAAUCUGAUCGCUGAGGACAUCUUUCGGGAUGGCCAAUUCUCAUCUGGGUUGCUUCAAAUCUGGCAAAUGCGAAUAACGUGUUGUGCCCCUUUGAUUUUGGCCUCGAAUCAGGUGGGAUUACCCGCUGAACUUAAGCAUAUCAAUAAGCGGAGGAAAAGAAACUAACAAGGAUUCCCCUAGUAACGGCGAGUGAAGCGGGAAAAGCUCAAAUUUAGAAUCUGGCAGUGUUUGACUGUCCGAGUUGUAAUCUAGAGAAGCGUUUUCCGUGCUGGACUGUGUACAAGUUUCCUGGAUACGGAACAUCAUAGAGGGUGAGAAUCCCGUCCUUGACACAGACUGCCAGUGCCCUGUGAUGCGCUCUCGACGAGUCGAGUUGUUUGGGAUUGCAGCUCAAAAUGGGAGGUAAAUUCCUUCUAAAGCUAAAUAUUGGCGAGAGACCGAUAGCGAACAAGUACCGUGAGGGAAAGAUGAAAAGCACUUUGGAAAGAGAGUUAAACAGUACGUGAAAUUGUUAAAAGGGAAACGCUUGAAGUCAGUCGCGUCUGCUUGGACUCAGCCUUACCGUUUGGUUUGGUGCAUUUCCUUGCGGACGGGCCAGCGUCCAUGUGGUUUGUCGGAAAAGGGGUGAGAGAAUGUGGCUCCUUUAGGGAGUGUUAUAGCUCUCACUCGUACGCGGGGAACGAUAUGGAGUGGUACAGCACGCUUCGGUGGUGUCUUGUGCUGGCAUAAUGGCUUUAAACGACCCGUCUUGAAACACGGACCAAGGAGUCUAACAUGUCUGCAAGUGUUUGGGUGGAAAACCCGAGCGCGUAAUGAAAGUGAUAGCUGGGAACCCCCUUUUUUGGGGAGGCACCGGUGCCCCGAGCUGACCUUCUGUGACGCAUCGGAGGUAGAGCAUACAUGUUGGGACCCGAAAGAUGGUGAACUAUGCCUGAAUAGGGCGAAGCCAGAGGAAACUCUGGUGGAGGCUCGUAGCGAUUCUGACGUGCAAAUCGAUCGUCAAAUUUGGGUAUAGGGGCGAAAGACU